GUGGUGGUGCAUGGCCGU
rnacentral:siRNA from 1 species